AAGCCGGGGCACCUUUUGGGGUGCUUCUUCAAAUUUGCACUUUGCUGUGUGCUUCCACCGCCCGG
rnacentral:tRNA from 1 species